UACGUAGGGGGCUAGCGUUGUCCGGAUUUAUUGGGCGUAAAGAGCGUGUAGGCGGCCAGGUAGGUCUGGUGUGAAAACUCGAGGCUUAACCUCGAGAUGUCAUCGGAAACCAUCUGGCUAGAGUCCGGAAGAGGAGAGUGGAAUUCCUGGUGUAGCGGUGAAAUGCGCAGAUAUCAGGAAGAACACCGGAGGCGAAGGCGGCUUGCUGGGCGUGAUCUGACGCUGAGGCGCGAAAGCGUGGGGAGCGAACAGG
rnacentral:rRNA from 1 species